UUCUCAUAGAUGUUAUUAUUGUACUAAUUAUUAAUCUUUUUCUUAAUUAUCCAUUACAAUAUAAAUGCGUUACAAAACACAAUACCUCAAAGGAGAGUAGAAAUAUAUAUACAGUAUAACAAAAUGAACUUUAAAUUUCUAUCAAUAAACUAAAAUCUAUAGCAAUGUAAAACAUUUUUAAACAAGAAAUAAAAU